AAAAAGGGAUGGGGAUGCAGCUCAGUGUGAAACCCUGCCUGGGUUCAAUCCCAAGUGCCGCCAAACCAAAACAAACCACCCCAAAACAAACUCCCCCCAAACCUCACCUGGCUGCUAAACACAGAGCAGGCCCCUGUAGAGAGCACAUGGGGCCCGGCUCCCGCCCCACCCCCCGGGGAUCUGGGCCUUGAGAACUGGAGUCCACAGUCCGAGCGCUCCCCACAGCCCCGCUCAAAUUCCAACUCCAAUUCCAGAGGGUCAGAAUCUCCAGGAGUUAGGAACGCAAGUUCCUGGAGCCCCAGCGCUCCCCACUGACGCUAAGCAAGAGCCUGCAGUCUUGUCAUGCUUGAGAUUGUGAAGAACUGCCAGAGCAGCAGGACACUGCACCGGGAUCCACAAACACUUCCGCAGCAAAACGUUUGCAUUUUCAUACCAACGAGAUGCGGAAGCCCAUAAGCCAAGUACCCUUAAUUCUGGGCAGUUUUUGCUGUGAAUUGAGUCGUCCAGAGUUUCUGCUAGCGUCCAGACACUGUGAAGCCUUGAAUAAUAAAGGACAGCAGCUCUGCA